UACAGAGGCCUCGAGCGUUAGGCGGAAUCACUGGGCUUAAAGCGUGUGUAGGCGGACUUCUAAGUACCUUGUGAAAUCCCACGGCUUACCCGUGGAACGGCUGGGUAUACUGGUUGUCUUGAGCCACUUAGGGGCUACCGGAACAAAUGGUGAGCGGUGAAAUGCGUAGAUAUCAUUUUGGAACGCCAAUGUGAAAAACAGGUAGCUGGGAGUGUGCUGACGCUGAGACACGAAAGCCAGGGGGAGCGAACGGGG
rnacentral:rRNA from 1 species